AUGAAGCCGGGACUCCAGUUUGUUCGGGUAUUGUGCACUUCAGAUUUGGAGUACCACUCCAAGAAGGAUUGGUCGGUGCUGCCGGCUGGCGUCAAAUUCGAUCCCAUGGAUCAGGAGUUGAUCGAGCACCUUGAGGCCAAAAGCAACUCCAAGGAGUUCAAAAGGGGCAUGCGGGCGCAUCGCAAGAUGCAGUCAGAGUGCGGCGUGCACGCGGUGUGGCACAAGACCGGCAAUACCUUGCCGGUGAUGGUCAGCGGCCGGCAGACUUGCAACAAAAAGGUUCUGGUGCUGCACACCAACAAGAACUUCGACCAGCUGAGGACCAACUGGGUGAUGCACCAGUACCACCUCGGGAACUUGGAGCAAGAGAAGGAGCGGGAGCUGUAUGAUUCUAGAGAAGAUGUGUACAAGGGCAAUGUCGCGUCCUUCAAAGCGAAGGAGGAGGAGAAGAUCAAGGCCAAGGGAGUUGCUUCCUUCUACAACCGCAAGAUCAAGAAGUGGCACUGUCCCUACUACACCACCAAGCCAAAGCCAAAGGAUGGCCGCUUCGAUCACGUUGUGUCUCAUGCAGAGGAUGUAGUGAUUCGCUGGGAGGACUACGAGAUCAGGCGGCAGCAUGUUGCCCUCGCGAAGGCCCUGACUCCUUUUCCGAGAUUGAGUUCCCGAUGCCGCGGUGGCCAUCCAUCAUCCUCUUCUUCCUCUCACAUCCCUCAUUUAUCUCCCAUCCUCUUCCAUCUGCCCUUCUUGUUCUUCGACCCAAUCUUCUUCGACCCCUUCUCCUUCUUCUUCACAUCCCUUAGCCACGCAGUACACCGGACCAACCUACCGCUUCCCACCCAUCGUGCCGGAGAGGCUCUACACUGCCGGCGUAAACUUUAG
rnacentral:rRNA from 1 species